rnacentral:tRNA from 1 species
GGCCUCGUAGCUCAGUUGCCCAGAGCGUUGGCUGAACUCAAGCCUACCCCUUGCGGGUGAGGGUUCAAAUCCCACCGAGGCCA